GCGGGUGAGGCUCGGUGGUCGGGCGGCAGUCUUCCAAACUGUUCAGGGUCGGUUCGAUUCUGGCCGCCCGCUCCA
rnacentral:tRNA from 1 species